rnacentral:rRNA from 1 species
UCCUACGGGGGGCAGCAGUAGGGAAUCUUCCACAAUGGACGAAAGUCUGAUGGAGCAACGCCGCGUGCGGGAUGGAGGCCUUCGGGUUGUAAACCGCUUUUGUUCAAGGGCAAGGCACGGUCUUUGGCCGUGUUGAGUGGAUUGUUCGAAUAAGCACCGGCUAACUACGUGCCAGCAGCCGCGGUAAUACGUAGGGUGCAAGCGUUAUCCGGAUUUAUUGGGCGUAAAGGGCUCGUAGGCGGUUCGUCGCGUCCGGUGUGAAAGUCCAUCGCUUAACGGGGGAUCCGCGCCGGGUACGGGCGGGG